CCAGGUGUUCGCUCCAGUCUUAGAUUGUAGUCGAUAAGCUGCGAAACUCCCUAAUAUUUCAUAGUCGUAGCAUAGAAACACAACUUAAAAUUACGAAAUCCUUUUCAACGAAGUACAAGAUCAUCAUAAGCUCUGUCCAUGGCAGCAAAUUUCACAUCAAAAUCCAAUUCAAAAGCAUCUGGAUCACACAUGGAAGCAAUGUUUGCCCAAGCUCAGAAAACCCAGGUGGCUCUUCAAGAAGACUACAAGAAUGCCCCUAUGACCACACCUAGGAAAGCUGGCUCAAAAGUUCCACAAGCAAGACAUGGGAAGGCAUCAGGCUUGAAACCAUCUUAUGGGUCUGCUGCUCCCAAACCAAAACCAAGAUCAAAUGCAAUAUCAAGUGAGUUUGAGAAGAAGGAGUAUUUUGAUGAAGAGGAUGUGCUGUCAGAAAAGAUUCAGGUUCUGGCUCAAUGGAUUCGUGAGAGUCGAUACUGUAUUGUCUUCACAGGAGCUGGUAUCAGCACAAGCACUGGUAUUCCUGAUUUUAGGAGUGGUGUGAACACAGUUCUAACCACUGGCCCUGGGGUGUGGGAGCGCAAGGCUCAUGGCAUCAAGUUACCCUCCCAGCAAAAAAAAGUGCAAAAUGUGUUAAAAGCUGUGCCAUCACCAUCACAUAUGGCAAUAGUUAAGCUUGUGAGGGAAGGCCUAGUAAAGUUUGUGGUCAGCCAAAAUACUGAUGGCCUGCACAGACGCUCAGGCCUUGAUCCCAAGUGCCUUGCUGAGUUGCAUGGUAAUACAAACAUGGAACAUUGUUUAAAGUGUGGGUCAAAGUUUAUGCGUGACUAUAGAACCCGCACAGCCAAAGCUGUACAUGACCAUUUGACAGGCCGUACCUGUGAUGACCCCAAAUGCCGUGGCCCCCUUGUGGACUCCAUAAUAAACUUUAAUGAAGAUCUGCCAGAGGAUGAACUAGACAGUGCAUUUGAAAAUGCAAAGCUUGCAGAUCUAUGCAUAGUUCUGGGUUCAAGCCUUAGGGUUUACCCGGCUGCGGACAUACCAGGGGACAUGAUCAAAAGAGGAGCUAAAGUGGUGAUUGUGAACCUCCAGAAAACACCUUUCAACAAAAGAUGUGCUUUGGAAGUUCACGCUACCAUUGACAUUGUUUUACUCAAACUUUUGAAAGAAUUUGGCCUUGAAGUGCCACAGUUUCAGCUCAAACGAUGCUUCCAAGUUGAUGUCAGGAAUGACUCACUGUUGAUUCAGGGACUGGAUCCAGCCACAAAAACACCCUACUCAUUUUUAAAACAAGUGAAAGUAGAGAUUCCUCCUCUAAAAAAAGAUAUAGAGUUGAUGAAGGAGCCCUUUGAGGUCAAGUUCCCAAGGCAAGUAGUCCUGUCAAAGGAGAAUCCAAUGCCCAUAAGCCUUACACUUAGCUUUCAGGGCCAUUAUGGGGAACCUGAAUUAAGAAUUGAAAAGAAUAUUGAGGAAGUUGGACCAACUAUGUUCUUGCUUACUUUUGAUGUCACAACAGUUGAGUGGGAAACGGAGGUCUUGGAGGAAUAAUGAGACAUGACUAUACAAGGUGGAACAUUGUUCAUUUACAGCAAUGGAAGGCUGAACAUGAACAUAUUAAUAUGUAGAGUUUUGAGGAAGCCAUGAAUUGUCUCUUUUCGUCAAUUUACGUUACAUUUAAAAGUAUUUUAGAAAACAUUUUAAGUAAUUGAAAUGCCAAAAACAUGUUUUACAUUUUUCAUUUUCCACAAUGGGAACUUGUAAGCCUGCAUGCUCUCAUUGGUUCUAGUACCAUGAGAAGUGAAGCUGCUAAAGUUGUUAGUUGUGCCACAGGGCUUAUGAGAACCUGCUUGUAUGCCUACUUAAGAGACAGGGGGUAACAAGUUAACAUUUGGUCAGUUUUGAAGCUGCUACACUGCAUUUUUCUUUUUCAAGAAAAUCAUUCAAAUUCUCCAAAGAGUCUCCAGGAAAUUAAAAUUUAAAGCACCAUAGAACAUUAUUGAAUAGAAAUUGAUUAUAUACCUUUCUUCUGGCCAUAGGGUAUAAUUAAAUGUAAGUAAAAAUUGUUUUUGUUUUUUUCAAAAAAAUGUUCCCUUUAAUGAUGAAAAGAAUGUUGUGCAACACUUCAGAAUUCCCUUAACUUCUGAUGGCUUCAGUCAAUGGAACUGCUGUGGGGAUAUCAGUAACAGUCAUGGGCUUGAUCUGUACAUCAGACAAAGCUACACUUCACACACCUUUUAUGGAGCUAGUACAAAGCCCUGAUGGAGGUUCCUUAUUUAUGUUCCUCAGGAUACUGGGACCAGGUUCUACUUAAGUUGGUUUCGUAUUUCUGUUGAAAUAUUUCCCCAAAGAGUCUCUACUGUUAUUCAAGCAGUUCAAGUAAGUAUUUCCUUUCGUAUCUGUUCCAUGAGGCUGGUGGAAAGGCAUGUACAGUACUAGAAGAACGCUGGCUUUCAGAAGAAUGCAUGUAUACUGUAAUGACAUGCAUUAAUGCGGAGAAAAUCCAAUUUGUCACCCAGCUUCCUAGUAAAGUUCCUUCCUCUUUUUUAAUUAGAGCUUAACCGACUGACGUUCCUGUUCUCUCGAUAAAAAUCACGCUACUAGCGCCGCAGGACCUGCAGGUCGCGUUACUCAAGGACUCAGACUUUCUCGCAUGCAAACAAACGCUAGUGUCGAGAUGCUAUUAAUUACGAAUGAAUAAAGGGGUAAGUUUCUAAAGAAACUGUGGUGCUGCGUCGGUGGGAGAGUAUAGCA